rnacentral:rRNA from 1 species
GAUGAACGCUAGCUACAGGCUUAACACAUGCAAGUCGAGGGGCAGCAUGGUCUUAGCUUGCUAAGGCCGAUGGCGACCGGCGCACGGGUGAGUAACACGUAUCCAACCUGCCGUCUACUCUUGGACAGCCUUCUGAAAGGAAGAUUAAUACAAGAUGGCAUCAUGAGUCCGCAUGUUCACAUGAUUAAAGGUAUUCCGGUAGACGAUGGGGAUGCGUUCCAUUAGAUAGUAGGCGGGGUAACGGCCCACCUAGUCUUCGAUGGAUAGGGGUUCUGAGAGGAAGGUCCCCCACAUUGGAACUGAGACACGGUCCAAACUCCUACGGGAGGCAGCAGUGAGGAAUAUUGGUCAAUGGGCGAGAGCCUGAACCAGCCAAGUAGCGUGAAGGAUGACUGCCCUAUGGGUUGUAAACUUCUUUUAUAAAGGAAUAAAGUCGGGUAUGGAUACCCGUUUGCAUGUACUUUAUGAAUAAGGAUCGGCCAACUCCGUG